GGGCCGGUCGUCUAGUCUGGUUAGGAUACCUGCCUGACACGCAGGUGGUCGAGGGUUCAAGUCCCUCCCGGCCCACCA
rnacentral:tRNA from 1 species